CUUACCCUUUUCGUUUCGCAUCCCUAAAUUUCCGAGUACCUACGGUGGCUUGCAAGGGAGGAGGAGCUGCCCUGGCGUGGCACUGUAGGUCGCUAGUCGCGUGGGCGGCCGGCGACGGACACGGCUUCUCGUCAGCGGCCGCCAGUUGCCGCUCGUCUAAUUUUUCUCCGCCGCGAAACUUUUUCGCGGCGAAUAGGGUAUGCCUCGUCGACUCCUUAACUUUGGUACUUGUUAAUUGAUGCUGGCUGGUUUGUGAGAUCCAUUGACGAGAGAAGUUUCGAGUUCAAUCCCUCUCAGGAGCAUCAAUUUGCACAUUUGCAACGAGAGAAUGACAAGUUUCGGGCUGAUACUGAGAACAAGUAUAGCGAGCUUCGAGCUGAUAUUAAGAAAUUGAGUAACAAAUUGCAACUGGAGUUUGAGAAAUUGUAUAGCGAAUUGCAGCUACAGGUUGAAAAGUUAUAUUGAGAAAUUACGAAGCGAAAUGAGGACAGGGAUCGAAAAGCUUAGGGUCGAGAUUGAGAAAUUACAUAGCGAUGCGAGGGAACAGAAAAAUACUAUUUCGAUAUAUGUAGUUGGUUUUACGAUUUUUAUAAAUUAUGAUGUAAACUGUUUUCUGUUUCCACAAAAUAUACAUCAAUUAUGUAAGAUAAAUUUUACUUGAUCAUUCUAAUGCUAAAAGCUGGUCUUUUUUCUUUCA